AUUGAACGCUGGCGGCAUGCCUUACACAUGCAAGUCGAGCGGAGAUGAGGUGCUUGCACCUUAUCUUAGCGGCGGACGGGUGAGUAAUGCUUAGGAAUCUGCCUAUUAGUGGGGGACAACAUUCCGAAAGGAAUGCUAAUACCGCAUACGUCCUACGGGAGAAAGCAGGGGAUCUUCGGACCUUGCGCUAAUAGAUGAGCCUAAGUCGGAUUAGCUAGUUGGUGGGGUAAAGGCCUACCAAGGCGACGAUCUGUAGCGGGUCUGAGAGGAUGAUCCGCAACACUGGGACUGAGACACGGCCCAGAGUACUACGGGAGGCAGCAGUGGGGAAUAUUGGACAAUGGGGGGAACCCUGAUCCAGCCAUGCCGCGUGUGUGAAGAAGGCCUUAUGGUUGUAAAGCACUUUAAGCGAGGAGGAGGCUACUGAGACUAAUACUCUUGGAUAGUGGACGUUACUCGCAGAAUAAGCACCGGCUAACUCUGUGCCAGCCGCCGCCGUAAAAC
rnacentral:rRNA from 1 species